rnacentral:rRNA from 1 species
UACGUAGGGUGCAAGCGUUGUCCGGAAUUAUUGGGCGUAAAGAGCGUGUAGGCGGCCCGAUUAGUCCGCUGUGAAAGUCCAGGGCUCAACCCUGGAAUGCCGGUGGAUACUGUCGGGCUAGAGUCCGGAAGGGGCGAGUGGAAUUCCUGGUGUAGCGGUGAAAUGCGCAGAUAUCAGGAGGAACACCGGUGGCGAAGGCGGUGGUCUGGGCCGGCACUGACGCUGAGGAGCGAAAGCCAGGGGAGCAAACGGG